AAGACUGUACUUUCAGGGAUCAUUUCUUUAGUUCAUUACUAGAUAAGUUUCUCUGAAUAUGUAGAGCGCUGAAUUAUAAUAAAUAGAUUUUAAAAUAAAUAAGUAAAUAAAUUCCAGUCACUGACUAGAUUUAGUUGCAAUCAGGAGAUCUUGUUUUUGGAAAGAAGGAAGGAAAGAAGGA
rnacentral:snoRNA from 1 species